ACCAACGUGGAAGCGAAACAUGGCGGAAAGAGCAACGCCUACGACUCUUUAUCCUCCUUCUAAACGGAUAAAAUCCGAAGUAUGGAAAUAUUUUGGAUUUCGCACAAAUGCAGAAGGUUCGUUAGUUGAGGAUGGUUUCCCUAUUUGUAAAAAAUGUGGCAGGAAAAUAGCCGCGAAACAGGGGAACACCUCCAACAUGUUUGCCCAUAUUCGCAACCACCAUCCGUCUGAAUUCAUGCAGAUAACAAUGUCACUAUCAAAUAAGGAAAAAACAACUCCGCUCAGAACAAGACUAAACAAUCCUUUUGAAAGGGCCAGAUAUCUUGCAAAAAGAAGAGAAAGCAGCAGCAGUAGCAGUGAUGUUGUUGAGCUGAACUCUCAGCAGCUUCAGGAAUCUCCUCCAGUGUACUCCAGCAGUGAGAAUGAUUGCAGCUCUGUGACACACGACAGUCCUGAGAGAAACCACAGCUGGAUGAAGCAAGAGCCAAAGAAUGAAAUAAUCGAGUGGGAAAAUAUCAACUCAGACGUCCCCGCUGAGGCUGAACAGGACAGCACGAGCAAUACCAUCUCCAGUACAUCAUUCACUGAGCAUCAGUGUAAACAAGCUUAUUAGCAUCUCACUAUUAGAAUUUCAUUGAGAUGAUUCUUACUUAAAUGUGUGGGGUUGCAAUGAUUCAAAUGGUAGGGCCGAAUCAUCAGCAACCAAUUUUGAGUGGGUAAAGCCAGGUGUACAAUGUACGAUUUAUGAACGUGAUCCCAUCUAAAAGCCAUGUCACUCUGUGGGAUCUUAGCUAUUGUCUUUUGAUUUAAAGGGAUAGUUCACCAAAAAAAAGAAAAUUCUGUCAUCAUUUAGUCCCCCUCAGGUUGUUUCAAAUCUGUAUAAAUAUAUUUGUUCUGAUGAACACAGAAAGAUAUUUGGAAGAAUGUUAGCAAUUUUCAGUUCUGGGACAUCCUUCAUUACUAUAGUAUGAAAAAUAUUGCAUUUUUUUGUUCUGUUGAAUGCAAAAUAAGAUAUUUUGAAGAAUUUAGGUAAACAAACAGUUCUGGGGCACAUUUGAGUACCAUUUAAUUUUCCCUACUGUGGUAGUCAGUGAUGUCCCAGAACUGAAAACUGCUAAUAUUCUUCCAAAUAUCUUUCUCUGUGUUCAUCAGAACAAAGCAAGUUAUACAGGUCUGAAAUUACCAGGGGUUGAGUAAAUGAUGACAGAAUUUUCAUUUUUGUGUGAACUAUCCCUUUAAGACAGUUUUAUGGCAGGUUAUGUAUGAGAAGUCGCCAGACUGUGUUUUAAAAUCAGUGAUCAUUAGUGUAGCACAGGUGUUCCUAUAAGUCAGCCGGUUGUCAGGGGUUGAUAAAAGUAUACCUGUACCUUGAAUGCACUGUAAAUCACUUUGAACUAAAUGUAACCAUUGUUGGGUGUAACUAGUUACUAAGUAAUUAGUUACUGUAAUUUAAUUACUUGAAAAAGUAAAGUAAGGGAUUACUCUUAUUUUUUCUGUAAUUUAAUUACACUUACUUCUGAUGUAAUUGAACUAAAUACUGUGUAAUAUAUUCAAUAGUGGAAAUGACAUCAAAAUUAUAAGUCUAACUUUAAAUGUAUGCUUUAAUGUAAACUUCUCGCAUUUGUAUACUUUGGUCAGUUAAUAAGAAUAAUUUAUGUAAUUAUUUAUUUGACUGAAUUAAAAGAGCCGUUUCAUGUAUAUCCUUGAAUCACUUAACUAAUCAAGGUUGAUGAAGGAUAUAGAAAGUAAUUGGUAAUAAGUAACUAAAUACUUUUUGGAGCGAGCAAUUUGUACAGUAAUCUAAUUACACUAUUGAAUAGAUAAUUAGUAACUAGUAAUUAAUUAUUUUUUCAGAGUAACUUACCCAACACUGAACGUAACUAAUUUUAACAUUUUUUCUGCAUCCCAAACAUUAUGAGGCCCUUAUAGUCCUGAGGGGAGACUAUUUAUAAAAGCAAUGACACCCAUGGAGGUUUUACUCACCAAUGAGAUGCUGACCAUCACCAAACUCAAGUGUCUGCUGGAGAAUAAACAAGAGAAGAUUGACACGCUGGAACAACAGGUGCAGGAUCUACAGGAGGAUCGCAAGUUCCUCCGCACACAGAUCGAGAAGCUCACCAACGUGCUCUCUGCUCGCUUCUGUGAAGGUGUGGAGAAAUCUCAAGAAAAGUUGAACGAUUAAAUUUACCGAAGAAGUGUGUUUCAAAUUUGGUGCUAGAUUACCUUUAUGUACAGAUGUGGGGCAGGUUUGAGAAACACUGCUGUGUCAUCUAAACUGAGUGUGUCAAAGUUUUUGUAGUGUUCUUUCUGCUUUUAUGGCAACAGUUUCAACAUUCUCACAAACACUGAUGAAGCACUUAAAGGCCUAACAGGUGUACAGCUGCUGAGAAGUCACUAGAUGGCGCUCUGAUACUAUUGCUGUGAUAGUAUGUACAGUACAUGUCUCUUGUUAGAGUUGUAAGAAGAGAUGCCAGAUUUCUCUUAUGUUCUGUUUUUCUAUUCAGUUCUUAUUGUUUGAGUUGCACUGUGUGCAACAGAUCAACUAGUUCCUUGAUCAUUUCCCCUUGAAGCUGUAUACAGUGGCUGCCAAAACAAAUACGCAAAGUUGUUUAUGGCACAAUUGUGAUUGUGCUUUAUUUAAUUUCAUUUUUCUUAUUAGUUUAUUUGAAAAUGGUUUUACUUCUGACCUGAAGUAUUAUUACUGAGAAACUUAUUUUACACCACACACGUGUCAUCAAAUAUCACUUUUGAUGGUUUAUGAACAUUUUGCUUUUCCUGCCUUUGGAAAUGCUUUAAAAAUCCUUUUAUUUCCUUAUUUUUAUUUAUUCUGCACGCUAGCCCUUAUGUCAAGUCCCUGUUCUUUAUUUUAAUUUUUUCCCCAAGAGAUUUUAUUGUAUAAGGCUGUUAAAUCAUAUAAACUCUCAAACCAAACAAAAGUAAAGGAUCAGUCUGUAAUGUACAUUGCAAAUCAACCAGUUAAAUGUCUAAAUACGCAUAAUUUAUGUUUCAUUAAUGCCUUAUAGGACAGUCUUGAUAAUUGAAGUACAGAACCGCAUAGCCUACACAGUUUUGCACAAUGAUGAUUUUAAUGAAAUGUAAAGUGUACAAUACUACUUAUUUCAUGCAUGUGACAGACAGAUCAUAUCCACAUGCUUUUGUCAUUUAUGUAGGGCUGUCAAACGAUUAAUCAAAUUCAGAAUAAAUGUUUGUGUUUACAUAAUAUAUGUCUGUGUACUGUGCAUAUUAAUUUUGUAUUUAUAAACACAUACAUGUAUGUGUUUAUAAAUAUGUUUAUUACUUUUUAUAUUUUGUUUUUAUAAAUACCAUAUCUGACUAAUAGGUCACUUUCACUUCAUAAAAAAUGUUGACAUCGCCACCUGUUGGACACCUGAAGAAAGGCAACCAAGGGGUAUUCUUAAAGUCCACUAUGCUUGUUAUUCUGUUAUUCAUCACUGUUCAAUACAAAUAUUUCAUUAA